AUGAGUGAUCCAGCUGCGAAUUCUUCCACUGUGGAAGGAAGCGAUCUCGUCGUAAAACCCGCCUCCCUGGUGACCAAGCCCGCUUCUUUAACCACAUCAACAGGCACCCCUGAAGUGGACAAGAAGAGGUCAUCGGGAGCUAUCAAUGACAAAGAUGUUGGGAUAACUGCAAAGAAGCCAAGGACGUCUGCUUGCAAUGUCUCCAGCAAAUCAAAUAAUCUAGAAGACUUUUAUUCCCCUGAGGCAAAGGAACUCCGUGUAUUAAUUGAGCAACACCAGAAUAUCCUUGCUGGAGAAAACACUCUGCUCGAGAAGCUCAAAGUCCCUCCAACAAGUAACAUCUCAACGCCAAGCCUUGUUCUCCCGCCCGGAAUAGCAGCAAAGUACAUCUCAAUAGGACUCAAAGAUAUACAAGAGGCGCUAAGGGAGCAGCCGAUCAAUGAGGAGCUAACCAUCACGAAAAUAGAAUCUACGAUAAGUAUGUAG
rnacentral:rRNA from 1 species